AAGGCGGAAGUUACUGGAAAUGAGUUAAGGUACCCCGGGUUUAGUGCCACCUGCUGGCGGGCCGAGGAAUAGCUCUCACCGUAACUGAAAGGAAAAGUUUUCAAAACCAUGCUAGGGGCUUAAGAGAGCAGGAGCGAGUUCGCCCUCGACUCUUGUGACUUCCUCGGUGGGGGUGGGAGAGAGCAGGGGGGUUGAGAUACAGCCUUCUAUAAAGUGGACUGGCCUCAAACUUGCUAUGUGGUGGAGGGCGGUCUUGAACUCCUGAUCCUUCUGCCUCCUCCUUAGCCCUAGGAUUACCGGUGUGUGCCAAACACCUAGAUCUUGAUUGUGUUUUCUGAAACGAGGGUCUCAUUUGGUAGCCGGGCUGGCCUGGAACUCACUCCUCAGUCCAGACUGGCCCCGAACUCAUGGCAAUCCUGCUGCCUUAGCCUCCGGGGCUCUGGGAUUACAGGCUCAUUUGACUAUUUGUGUACCGUGGGUAGCGUGACACUUCUUUUGACUUGAUCGCAGCCUUUAGCGGGCUAAUCUGCUCUCCCCAUCACUUAUGUCACCACGCUGCCUGUUGGAGAACUCGAAGUUUGUGACCCAUGAGCCUGAGCCUUCCUUUCCACUCCUUCUUGGUCAAGAAUGGCUUGUGGAUCACGUGGGAGAUCUCCCGGGCUUCUCCAGCGCUGUGCCUGCCCUCCUGAUGCCAUGCUCCCCUCCAUGAAGAAGAUGGACUCGGCCUCUGACCCUGCAAGCAAGUCCUCAGUUAAAUGUCUCCCUGACCAUGGUGUCUUUGGGUUUUUUUCAGACUUAAAAAGGUUAGGAGAGCUGGGCAGUGGUGGCAAAAGCCUUUAAUCCCAGUGCUCCGGAGACAGAGGCAGGCAGAUCUCUGUGAGUUCCAGGCUGGCUUGGUCUGUGGAGUGAGUUCAAGACAGCCAGGGUAAUUAUACAGAGAAACCCUGUCACAAAGCAAAACAAAACCAGACAGCAGCAACAACAACAUGGUUAGGAGAGCUAUAGUCUAUGCCUUCAAGGGAAUAGCAGAAAAUAAGGACCAGGGCACAUAGAAUUUCCCAGACAGACUAUUGAGACUCAGUCCACCCCUUGUGCCAUUUCACAACCACACACACACCUGGGGAUGAUUCUCCCUCCUUCUCCCCCCCCCCCCCCAGCAAGGAUAGAAUCCAAGGUCUUGCAAAUUCUACACAGGUGCCCAAAUCUACACAUUGAGCUACCUCACCAGUCCUUUUCUGUUUGGUUGUUUUGAGAUAGAGUCUCUAUUUGUAGCCCAGGCUAGCUUUAACCUCUUAGCCUCUUAGUGUUGCGAUGAUAGGCAUGUACCUGCUCUAUUGUCAUCUUGAGAGGAGUGGGCCACUUUGGCUGGGCUCCCACAGAGCUCUGAAACCUGUUUCCUCCUGUAACUAUUAGGGUCACACAGAGUUCCUGGGAAGCCAGAGUUUGUUCAGAUCCACAGGGUGAGCAUUCAUUUUGGCCUUUGACAAACCUGUCAGGAAGGAAGCAGCCAUGGCUAGCGUAAGGCGUCUUUCGAUAGCUGGCCUUGUCCUUUUGUCCUUGACAGUCUGCACGGGCCAGUCUGUACUCUGUUCCUGAGAUUCUGGUCAUUCACCUAGCAAGACAGGAACCUGAGUAUCCAGGCUAGACCCUUAGACAAGAUGUCCACCCAUGGGCUAGUGGCCUUGGGUGCUGUAAGAAAGCAGGCUGAGCUAGCCAGUAGGCAGCAGUCCUCCAUGGCCUCUGCGUCAGGUUCUGCCUCUGAGUUCCUGCCCUGACUUUCUUUGAUGAUGGACUGUGAUACGGAAGCCUAAGCAAAAUAAACCCUUUCUUUUCUCCAA